UCUUAUGGAUGAGCAAAGAAAGUGGUUUCUUGAGAUGGAAUCUACUCCAGGUGAAGUAUGCUGUGAA
rnacentral:pre_miRNA from 1 species